GAGUUUGAUCAUGGCUCAGAACGAACGCUGGCGGCGUGCCUAACACAUGCAAGUCGUACGAGAAAAUUCGCUUCGGCGGAUGAGUAAAGUGGCGCACGGGUGAGUAACGCGUGGAUAAUCUUCCCUUUAGUCUGGGAUAACUCACCGAAAGGUGAACUAAUACUGAAUAAUACUGUUUCUGCUAAGGUGGAUUAGUUAAAGAGGACCUCUGUUUACAAGUUCUUGCUAAAGGAUGAGUCCGCGUACCAUUAGCUAGUUGGUAGGGUAAUAGCCUACCAAGGCGACGAUGGUUAGCUGGUCCGAGAGGAUGAUCAGCCACACUGGAAUUGAGAUACGGUCCAGACUCCUACGGGAGGCAGCAGUGAGGGAUUUUGCGCAAUGGGGGAAACCCUGACGCAGCAACGCCGCGUGAGUGAGGAAGGCCUUCGGGUCGUAAAGCUCUGUCAGAUGGGAAGAAAUGCGGGAAUGUCAAUAGCUUUCCCGCUUGACGGUACCAUCAGAGGAAGCACCGGCUAACUCCGUGCCAGCAGCCGCGGUAAUACG
rnacentral:rRNA from 1 species